UACGGAGGGUGCAAGCGUUGUCCGGAUUUAUUGGGUUUAAAGGGUGCGUAGGCGGCCUUGUAAGUCAGUGGUGAAAGCCUCCAGCUCAACUGGAGAACUGCCAUUGAUACUGCAAGGCUUGAGUACAGACGAGGUUGGCGGAAUUGAUUGUGUAGCGGUGAAAUGCAUAGAUACAACCAAGAACUCCGAUUGCGUAGGCAGCUAACUAGGCUGUAACUGACGCUGAGGCACGAAAGCGUGGGGAGCGAACAGG
rnacentral:rRNA from 1 species